AACCCGAACCUUAGGAAAAUCUGAGAUUGGAGAGAAGAAGAAGAAGUAGAGAAAGCGGGAUAGGUAGAGUGGGGAGAGGGAGUGAAAAAGAGAGAGGAUGUUAGAGUUGCUGUUGGGGUCGAUCAAGGGGAGCAUAGAGCCUCCAUCACCGGUGGUCUUCAGUGAUGUGUACCAAAGAGCUUUGAACUCCAUCAUGGAGGAAGAGGGGGGAGAUCAAACGAGAGAGAAGGAGAAAUCAAUCAAGAUUGGGAUCGAGAUGGAG
rnacentral:lncRNA from 1 species